UACGAAGGGGGCUAGCGUUGCUCGGAAUCACUGGGCGUAAAGGGUGCGUAGGCGGGUCUUUAAGUCAGGGGUGAAAUCCUGGAGCUCAACUCCAGAACUGCCUUUGAUACUGAAGAUCUUGAGUUCGGGGAGAGGUGAGUGGAACUGCGAGUGUAGAGGUGAAAUUCGUAGAUAUUACGGAAGAACGCCAGUGGCGAAGGC
rnacentral:rRNA from 1 species